rnacentral:rRNA from 1 species
GUGUCAGCAGCCGCGGUAAUACGGAAGGUGCGAGCGUUAAUCGGAAUUACUGGGCGUAAAGCGCACGUAGGCGGCUUUUUAAGUCGGAUGUGAAAGCCCUGGGCUUAACCUGGGAAUUGCAUCCGAUACUGAAAGGCUAGAGUACGGUAGAGGGGGGUGGAAUUCCAGGUGUAGCGGUGAAAUGCGUAGAGAUCUGGAGGAACACCGGUGGCGAAGGCGGCCCCCUGGACUGAUACUGACGCUGAGGUGCGAAAGCGUGGGGAGCAAACAGGAUUAGAAACCCCUGUAGUCC